rnacentral:rRNA from 1 species
UUCGCAAUGCCCGAAAGGGUGACGAAGCGACGCCGCGUGUGGGAAGAAGGCCUUCGGGUUGUAAACCACUGUCGGGAGUUAGGAAAUGUAAGGGUGCUAAUAGUAUCCUUACUUGACUAAGGCUCCGGAGGAAGCCACGGCUAACUCUGUGCCAGCAGCCGCGGUAAUACAGAGGCGGCGAGCGUUGUUCGGAAUUAUUGGGCGUAAAGAGCACGUAGGCGGCCUUGUAAGUCAGUUGUGAAAGCCUUCUGCUUAACGGAAGAACAGCAGCUGAUACUGCAAGGCUAGAGUGCGGAAGGGGAGAGUGGAACUUCUGGUGGAGCGGUGAAAUGCGUAGAUAUCAGAAGGAACACCGGCGGCGAAGGCGACUCUCUGGUCCGUAACUGACGCUGAGUGUGCGACAGCUAGGGGAGCAAACGGGAUUAGAUACCCCGGUAGUCCUAGCCGUAAAC